rnacentral:tRNA from 1 species
GGGGGUACAGCUCAGCUGUAGGGCACAUGCUUAGCGUGCAUGAGGUUGUGGGUUAAAUCCUCAGUACCUCCA